rnacentral:rRNA from 1 species
CCUACGGGAAGCAGCAGUGAGGAAUAUUGGUCAAUGGGCGUAAGCCUGAACCAGCCAAGUCGCGUGAGUGAUGAAGGUUCUAUGGAUCGUAAACCUCUUUUAUAAGGGAAUAAAGUGCGGGACGUGUCCCGUCUUGUGUGUACCUUAUGAAUAAGGUACGGCUAACUCCGGGCCAGCAGCCGCGGUAAUACGGAGGAUCCGAGCGUUACCCGGAUUUAUUGGGCUUAAAGGGUGCGUAGGCGGCCUUUUAAGUUAGCGGUGAAAGUCUGUGGCUCAACCAUGGAAUUGCGGUUGAAACUGGGAGGCUAGAGUGUGUUAGAGGCAGGCGGAAUGCGUGGUGUAGCGGUGAAAUGCGUAGAUAUCACGCAGAACCCCGAUUGCGAAGGCAGCCUGCCGGGCCAUGACUGACGUUGAUGCACGAAAGCGUGGGGAGCAAACAGGAUUAGAUACCCUAGUAGUC